GUAUGUAGCUGGCAGAAGUGGGACUUGGUCGCAACCGUUGCGUCCCGGCCAGGUCUCAGCUCUGUUGUCUUCUUGGAGAGAAAACUUCCCUGACCUCCCUCCCGGGCGGAGCGCUCCUGCGCGCCUUGUUCGUUAGGAUUUAUUUUUGUACGUCUACCGUCAUUUUCGUAAUUAUUCGGUUUCCCUGUCUGGAUUUUGCAUCUCCAGCACUUAGCACGCAGGAAGUAGUCAGUAACCAUUUGUCAAAGGAAUAGAUGAAUGAAUGUGAGGAAUGACUUGUGAUUGAAAACUUAACUAGACACUGAGACUUCCACGAACUGGGAGGCAUUUGCCCAGGGUCACACAACCGAGAUGGGAAGCCAGAUUCGCCCCUUCCUGUCUAGGUGGUGGAAAGUAAGAUAAAUCCCAGGGAGAGGUGAACGUGAAGGAGGAUGGAGCCGUUCAGCACCACCCGCAUCAGAAUGGUCUGAGGCAAGGGGGAGGAGGAAUGCUUGCGAAAAUGCAUAUUCGUAGGCCCACACACAGACAACGGGAAUGAAGCCUAGAGUUAUUGUUCUAGAGCUUUGCUAUUCAAACUGUGGCCCCUGGACAAAGUAUCGCUUCUCAGACAUCUCCGGAAUCACCUAGGAAUGUGUUAAAAUGCAAAUUCUGCUUUUCUAACAAGUGCCGCAGUCCACGGUCCGCAGUUCACUUUGCACACCGCGGAUCUAGCGAUGACUUUCCAACUUGGCUGCACAUCAGAGUCACCUGAGGAACUUGUUGUUAUUGUUGUUGUUGUUGAGACGAAGACUUGCUCUUGUCCCCCAGGCUGGAGAGCAGUGGCA
rnacentral:lncRNA from 1 species